AUGUCAGCGAAGUACAUCUUAGGUGCUACAGUUGCAACAUUUGGAGUUGCAUGGGUCUGUGAUUAUUAUGUUUCAGACAAAAAGAUUUUUGGAGGUUCUGUGUGUGCGACAGCUUCAAACGAGAAGUGGUUUGAAGAGACCGACAAGAAGUUUCAGGCAUGGCCUCGUACUGCUGGUCCACCAGUGGUGAUGAAUCCUAUUAGUCGCCAGAAUUUCAUUGUGAAGUCCCGUGAGUCUUGA